AGAUUGAACGCUGGCGGCAUGCCUAACACAUGCAAGUCGAACGGGAGUAGCAAUACUCUAGUGGCGGACGGGUGAGGAAUACGUAGGAAUUUGCCCUUAAGUGGGGGAUAACCCGGGGAACCCGGAUAAUACCGCAUGACCUCGAAAGAGCAAAGUGGGGGAUCGCAAGACCUCACGCUUUUGGAGAAGCCUACGUCGGAUUAGCUAGUUGGUGAGGUAAUGGCUCA
rnacentral:rRNA from 1 species